ACUCAAAUGAAUUGACGGGGACCCGCACAAGCAGUGGAUCAUGUGGUUUAAUUCGACAAUAAACGAGGAACCUCACCUAGGCUUGACAUUGAUAGAAUCUUUGAGAAAUCAGAGAGUGCCCGCAAGGGAACUUGAAAACAGGUGCUGCAUGGUUGUCGUCAGCUCGUGCCUUGAGGUGUUCGGUUAAGUCCGUUAACGAGCGCAACCCACGUCGUAUGUUAUUUUGUCAUACGAGACUGCUCGAGUUAAUCGAGAGGAAGGUGUGGAUGACGUCAAAUCAGCAUGGCCCUUAUGCCUAGGGCUACACACAUGAUACAAUGGUCGGUACAAACGGUUGCAAUAUCGCGAGAUGGAGCCAAUCCGAAAAAGCCGAUCUCAGUCCAGAUUGGAGUCUGCAACUCGACUCCAUGAAGUUGGAAUUGCUAGUAAUCGUGAAUCAGCUAUGUCACGGUGAAUCUGUUCCCGGGUCUUGUACACACCGCCCGU
rnacentral:rRNA from 1 species